UACGUAGGGCGCAAGCGUUGUCCGGAAUUAUUGGGCGUAAAGAGCUCGUAGGCGGUCUGUUGCGUCCGUUGUGAAAACUCGAGGCUCAACCUCGGGCUUGCAGUGGAUACGGGCAGACUAGAGUGCGGUAGGGGAGAAUGGAAUUCCUGGUGUAGCGGUGGAAUGCGCAGAUAUCAGGAGGAACACCGAUGGCGAAGGCAGGUCUCUGGGCCGCAACUGACGCUGAGGAGCGGAAGCAUGGGGAGCGAACAGG
rnacentral:rRNA from 1 species